AUGAACGCUGGCGGCAUGCCUAACACAUGCAAGUCGAUCGGUAAGGCUCUUCGGAGUACCCGAGAGGCGGACGGCUGAGUAACGCGUAGGAACACACCCUGCAGUGAGGGAUAAGACACCGAAAGGUGUUCUAAUACCGCAUACGGUCUUCGGAUUAAAGCAUUUAUGCGCUGAAGGAGUGGCCUGCGUCAUAUUAGAUAGUUGGUGAGGUAAUGGCUCACCAAGUCGAUGAUGUGUAGCUGGUCUGAGAGGAUGAUCAGCCAGACUGGAACUGAGACACGGUCCAGACUCCUACGGGAGGCAGCAGUGAGGAAUAUUUCACAAUGAGCGAAAGCUUGAUGGAGCAAUGCCGCGUGCAGGAUGAAGGCCCUCGGGUUGUAAACUGCUUUUAUAAGAGAAGAUUAUGACGGUAACUUAUGAAUAAGGGACGGCUAACUACGUG
rnacentral:rRNA from 1 species